CAUAUAUAUAUAAAACAAACUUGUUUACAAUGUUACUAGUAGCAUAUAAAUCACUGAAGCUUAAAGUUAUACCUGGUUGAUCAUUGGAACAUGUCAAGAAUAUUAUUAUUUAUAUUUCUGUGGUCCAUGAAUUGUAAUUGUGUUAGGGCUCUAGAUUUACGAUUACCCCAUCAUGUUAUACCUAAAAGCUAUGAUAUCCAACUCAGUCCACAAUAUGAAGAAUCCAACAAUCUCUCUGGAUUCGUCAGAAUUGAAGUUGAGUGCGUUGUGGAAGGGUCUAAAAAUAUAACAUUGCAUGCCAAAUUUUUAAACAUUACACAUCUGGAUAUUAAGGAAAAGGUUUAUAAAACAGAUAUAAGCAUUAACAAUUCAUCAGUAGAAGAAAAUGGUACAGACUUUGUUCUUAUUAAUUUAUCUGAGAAUCUGCAAAAUGGAUCAAUUUACAUCCUGACAAUGAAUUACACUACAACAUCAACUGAAACGAAAAAAUCUUUAUUUUUUGGAGGAGAUGACCAAAUUAGAGGAUUUGUGUUUUAUAAAGGAGUUUAUUACACUCAAUUACAGCCAAUUUAUGCUCGAACUGUCUUUCCUUGUUUCGAUGAGCCAAGUUUUAAGUCCGUAUUUAAUAUAACUCUUCGUCGUCCAAAAAAUAUGACUUCCAUUUCAAAUAUGCCAAUAAAAGAAACAAUUAAACCUGAAAAUUCUGAGGUUUUCGUCCAUGAUAUCUUUGACUCAACCCCAUUAAUGAGUACUUAUCUAGUUGCAUUUAUUAUCACAAAUUACAAAAACGAAACGAUUCCCUUUAAUAACACUGAAGACGUGAGGAUUUGGACUCCAGAAGAAGAAGACAAGUCAAAAACAUACUUGGCUAGCCGGGUCACUCCAAUUUUAUAUGAAUAUUUAAAUGAAUAUUUUGGAAUUGAAUUGCCAAUACCUAAGCUGGAUAUGUUUGCAAUCCCUGAAAUUGAGACCGAGGGACUAGAAAAUUGGGGUCUUAUCACUUUCAAACCUAGAACCUUGUUGAUUGAUGAAAAUGUGUCCUCCGUUCGUUCUUUGUUUUUAAAGGAGAACAUUAUAGUCACCAUAGCACAUGAACUUACACAUCAGUGGAUGGGUAAUCUUGUAACUUUAUCGUGGUGGAAUGAAGUGUGGCUACAAAAAGGGAUUACAACUUAUUUAUCCUACUUGGCUUCAUCAAUUUUUUUUUUUUCAGAAGAGGGCUCAUGGGAUAGAUUUAUAAUCUUUGUUUUUCAAGACGCCAUGAAAGUGGAUCCUACUAUAUUUUCUCAACCUAUUAAGACGGAAAUAGAUAAUAAUAAAGAAUUAUUCUCUUCGUUUCAUUCUAUAGUUUAUUCCAAAGGUGCUUCAAUCAUUAGAAUGUUAAGUGAUCUUAUUGGUGAAGAGAACAUUCAAAAAGUUUUCAAAAAUCUAAUACAAAAGAAUAAUUUGAAAAAUAUCAAUGAAGAUUUGUUUUGGGAAGAAAUAAAUGAGGUCGUAUCUUUGAAAAAAAAUAUUACUCCACAAAAUUUGACAUUGAAGGAUUUGAUGGAAUCCUGGCUCACUCAAAAAGGAUAUCCGGUCAUAAAUGUGUCUCCAAAUUAUGAAAAUGGCUCUCUUCAGAUUUAUCAGAACGAAUUAAAUGGUAAUGUAUGGUGGGUUCCAUUGAAAUAUGAUAUCAUAGACAAAUACGGAAAUGGGAUACAAAAACUAAUUUGGCUGAAGGAUUCAAACUUGAGUCAAACUUUUCAAGAUGAGGAUUUAAAGGAAAGCUCUCAUUCCUUAUACCCUGUCAUUUUCAAUGUCAACCAAACAGGAUACUAUCGAGUUAAUUAUAAUGACGAUAAUUGGAAACGAAUCACGCAUUGUCUACUUCGUAACCACUCAAGAAUAAACAAAUAUAACAGAGCUCAAUUGAUAGAUGAUUCAUUUUAUUUGGCUAGUAGGGGAUUACUUAGUUACGUAAUCCCCUUUAACAUAACUACAUACUUGCCAAAUGAAGAUCAGCCGUUGAUAUGGAUUACUUUCUUCGAAAAGUUGUCGGAAAUUACAUCAAAAACAUUUCGAAUUGAAAAUGAUGACAAAUUAAAGGUUUUUUUAUGAAUAUAACCCAAAAAUUGUUCGAUAUAUACCACGAGGAAUAUUUAGAAUCAAAGGAUUUCUUGCAUAAAAAGUUGUGGCAGCUUUCAACCCAAUGGUCCUGCAAAUUUGAUAAUUCAAAAUGUAUUCAGAGGUCCCUUUUGGCAGUUGAGGACUGGAUGCAAAAUAUCACUCAUAUUCCGAAUGAAGACAUUUUUGAAGCUUCAAUUUGUGCAGCAGUUCGAAAUGGAAAUGAAUCUCUUUGGGACUUUGUUGCUACUCAAUAUUCAUCUGUCGAUAAAUCAGAUCAACUUUUAGCGGGUUUAGCAUGCUCAACAAAUAAUACAAUCAUAGAAAAAUAUUUGAACAUGACUCGGGAAAAUCAAACAUUUAAUUCCAGAGCAGAUUUCGUUUUCGACAAAAUUUGUGAGACUCAAAAUGGAAGGUCGUCAUUCAUUGAUUUUUUUCUAAAUGAACAUGAACAACUGAGCAAAUU
rnacentral:misc_RNA from 1 species